rnacentral:piRNA from 1 species
UCCUGGUGCCCUUGACUUGACCUAUGGG